rnacentral:rRNA from 1 species
AUUGAACGCUGGCGGCAGGCCUAACAAAUGCAAGUCGAGCGAGCGGCGGACGGGUGAGUAAUGUAUGGGGACUGCCCGAUAGAGGGGGAUAACUACUGGAAACGGUGGCUAAUACCGCAUACUAUCGGAUAACCCAUAUGGGAUUAGCUAGUAGGUGGGGUAAAGGCUAACCUAGGAGACGCUCUCUAGCUGGUCUGAUAGGAUGAUUAGCCAAACUGUGACUGUGCCACGUCCCAGACUCCUACGGAGGCAUCAGUGGGGAAUAUUGCACAAUGGGCGCAAGCCUGAUGCAGCCAUCCCGUGUGUAUGAAGAAGUCCUUAGGGUUGUAAAGUACUUUCAGCGGGGAGGCGUUACCCGCAGAAGAAGCACCGGCUAACUCCGUGCCAGCAGCCGCGGUAAUUC